UUCCUUCUGUGUUUGCAAAUCAGUUUUCCUAGAGAAAAGAAUUGCAUUGGCCCAGCUCACCAGUUCACACCAAGUCUCACCACAGUGAGCUGGCCCAGGGGCUUCCUUCGGAGUCUUUCUCAGUCAUUCAGGCUGGAGUACAAUGGCGCGAUCUUGGCUCACCGCAACCUCAGCCUUUCGGGUUCAAGCAAUUCUCCUGCAUCAGCCUCCCGACCAGCUGGGAUUACAGGCACCUGCCAUCAUGCCCAGGCAGUCACAUUUCUGAACACAGAUUCUGCAGGCGUCAUUCCAGUAGCAGCCCUUCUGGAGCUGAGCUUCUUGGACAUUUGAGAGUCAAUCUCCAAGACAGGUUAUAUUCAGUUUCCUAUGAAUAUUGAGGAGUA